GGCCUUAAUUGUUUGUGUGUUUUU
rnacentral:siRNA from 1 species